rnacentral:lncRNA from 1 species
AUAAUAUAUAUUCAAUACAGGUUUACGGAGGUUCCAUUGUAUAUCAGAGACUAUCCUAGGCAAAGUCUUCAAGAGGUGACAUCAGUGGAUAGACAGAUGAUCAAUAGACGGAUGGAUGGAUGGAUGGAUGGAUGGAUGGAUGGAUGGAUGGAUAGACUGAUAGAUAAUAAAUAGGCAGACAUCACAUAAUGUAGUGGGUAAGUGCUAUGGAGAAAAACAAAACAGAUUCAGGAGAUGGGGAUUUUCAGAAGCUGUUUCUGAAACUGUAACAUUUGAGCAAGGCCUAACUGAAAUGGAAAAAGGACCCAUGCACGGCAGUACACCUGGCAGAGAGAACAAAUGCGCAGAGUGUGAAGUGGAAACAUGCUCAGUGUGAUCGAACAGUACACCUGGCAGAGAGAACAAAUGUGCAGAGUAUGAAGUGGAAACGUGCUUGGUGUGAUCAAGGAGGAGCAAAGAGACCACCGUGAACAAGAGGGAGCAUGCAGGAAACAAGAGUAUAAUGGAAGUGAGUGUGUGACGGUUCUGAGCCUAGGCUUCCAAGAAGCAUCCUGCUUGGCCUUCUGCCACUGUCCUGAGACCAUGUCCAGACUGGCCUGCCAAAGGACAACAAGCCAAGUGGAUCUGAGCCAAGUCGCCCCAUCACCCAGCAGCCCCUGCUGACAGCCUGCUGACCCCCAGAUAUGUCAGGCAUGGUGGCUCACACCUGUAAUCCCAGCUCUUUGGAAGGCUGAGGUGAGAGGAUCAUUUUCGGUCAGAAGUUCAAAACCAGCCUGGCCAACAUGGUGAAACCUCGUCUCUACUAAAAAUACAAACAUUAGCUUGGUGUGGUGGCAGGCGCCUGCAAUCCGAGGUACUCUGGAGACUGAGGCAGGAGAAUCGCUUGAACCCGGGUGUCAGAGGUUGCAGUGAGCCGAGAUUACCCCACAGCACUCCAGCCUGGGUGACAGAGCAAGACUUGGUCUCAAAAAAAUAAUAAUAAAAUAAUUAAAAUAUUUAUGUUUGUAAAUGUAUUAACAUUCUAAAUAAACUGUUCCAUAUAAACUAGCAUAAGCACUCCAUUCAUCAACAAAUAUUAACUGAGA